rnacentral:lncRNA from 1 species
CUACCUCUCCUUCUAUGGUUCUUUCUAGAACCAUUCCCUCUUCCCUUACGCUCCGAUGAGUUUCAUUCACCUUCUCCGACCACCCCCUAGCCUGAAUCUAUGAUGGUCUCUCCACCUACUAGCCUUCCAUGGUGCAUACUUGUUCGGUUGCCGAGGUUUUAUGGUCUGACCAUGAAGAAGCUUCAUCCAAAACUUGUUGAUUCGAGUUUUAUGACCAUUUCCGUCCUUGCUCCGGCAAGCCAUGUCUGUUUCGAGCCUGGCUUCGACCCCUCCG